CCUACGGGGUGCUGCAGUGAGGAAUAUUGGUCAAUGGGCGUAAGCCUGAACCAGCCAAGUCGCGUGAGGGAUGAAGGUUCUAUGGAUCGUAAACCUCUUUUAUAAGGGAAUAAAGUGCGGGACGUGUCCCGUUUUGUAUGUACCUUAUGAAUAAGGAUCGGCUAACUCCGUGCCAGCAGCCGCGGUAAUACGGAGGAUCCGAGCGUUAUCCGGAUUUAUUGGGUGUAAAGAGUUCGUAGGUGGCAUAUUAAGUCUGGUGUUAAAUGCAGAAGCUCAACUUCUGUUCGGCACUGGAUACUGGUAAGCUUGAAUGCGGUAGAGGUAAAGGGAAUUCCUGGUGUAGCGGUGAAAUGCGUAGAUAUCAGGAGGAACAUCGGUGGCGUAAGCGCUUUACUGGGCCGUAAUUGACACUGAGGAACGAAAGCCGGGGUAGCAAAUGGGAUUAGAUACCCCAGUAGUC
rnacentral:rRNA from 1 species